CAGAAGAGGAGGUUCCCAUAUUCAGAUGAGGAAGGAUGCUCAGAGAUGUGUGGGACCUGGGCAGAUGAUUCACUUUUCCCUCCUCAUGCAGGCCAUCCUGCUAUCAUUCACCAGAGCGAAAAUAUUCCAUAACAUCCUGCUGACCAUCAAAACCCACUCUUCUACUAUACAAACAUCCGAUUUGACCUACGCCCUCCACCGUUUUAUUCCUAUACCUACAUUCCUAUGAGAAGGCUUAAUUUGUAAGCUAGACACAGUAACAGAUUAACAACAACAACAACAACAAUAAAAUGGAACAGUUA